AUAGCUCAGUUCAGACCAGUUGGCCAUGAAGACCAAAGCCUCAGGGUACUCGAGUCUCCAAGAACACACAGCUUCAAUGUGAAGAUUUUGGUGGCCACCAGAAGAGGUCACCUUACCGUGAGUCAUGGAGCACCCUCUGAUUGUAGCGUGGAGCACCCUCCUUCAUACAGAUGGCCCUACCCACGACCCAGUUGGACUUGCAGCACAGGCAUCUGGAAAUGGGAAGCGAGGAAGGCGCCAGGUACUUCUUAACUUCCACAACCAUGCUCCCCGACACACUGGGCACGCCAUCAGGGAAACCGCUGAGAACAACUGGAUCUCAUAUACUUCAAUAGCUUAUUUCCCGAGUGGGUUUUAGCUGUCUAUAUUUAAGAAGCUAAACUUAUCAAUGAACAAACCUUUGAAU
rnacentral:lncRNA from 1 species